GAAACAUGCAACAGCCACUGAGCCUGGACGGCAGGAAGAGUGGAGGAAGCAGCGGAAUAUAGAGGCUCUUGGCCAGAAGCAGGAGCAAUGGAAUAUGAGCAAAGGCAGCAUGUGUUUGUUCAGAAGGAGGGAGGGAGGCUGUCAACGGUCCAGCAGCAGAGAACAACGUGGGGAUAAUAUCAGAAGCAGGCACUGACGAGAAACGGAGGGAGAGGGUGGGGGUGUGAGCCAAGGAACAUGCUGACGAAAAAGUUUCAGGCUUCAAGAGGGAUAGAACUUGCAUGACACUGCCAUCCAGCCAGGAGUGGUGGGAGACGAUGCAUGGGGAAAGGACAAAUCUUUUCCGGCAUCUCAAUAUGAAUUCGGUGUCCUCCCUUCGCAAUGCCUACUGAUACCAGAAGACUUGGGAAACAUACUAUCCCAUGUCACGUCUGGCUCCUACAGAAGAAGACCAAGAUGGGACACUCAGCAAAGACUGGGAAGGGAUCUUUGUUUAGUUUUGAGCCUAAGGAAUACAACAAGAUGGGUACUUAUGGAUCUAAGCAGACCAUCCAUAAUGGAUACAGUCGCCACUCCAGACUAUCACUUACCACUCUGAAGUGGCAUUCAAAGAUCUUUAGGACUGGUGAGAACUGUCAUAAUGAGUCAAGCAGUAUGAGAUGGCGUAAGUGUCAGGGGCAGGGAUUACAACACAACAGCGCCUCUGUGAGGGACCGCUCAAGAGAAUGCAGCUUUGUGGAAAACCUCCACCAAACCCAGACACCCCUCCCUUUGAGGAAAUGUGCUCUGGAUUUACCGACGCAGUUCAUAGGUCAAAGAAACUGUGGAGUGCCUGUUUGCGUGGUGGCACAACAAUCCAGCUCUGUCAGAGAGUCGCAGCCGCCUGGGCAAUCUGAAGCAAACGAAUACACCUUUAACAAACGUCAGACACCUAAAACCAGCUGCAGGAGCAAUCUAGAACACUAUAGUGUGGACAACGCAAGACAGAAUUUUCCUAACUCAAUGGGACAUGUAGCAGAAGACAGUGAUGGGUCCAGGUCCAUGCAUGAAGUUUUCUUCUCUACAGAAGUUCCCCAAAACAUCACCAUCAACCACAAUGAGAGCUCUCAUAAAGGGAAUUUGCAAAAUAUGUCAAACAACGGGGGGCAGUCCAUGAGUGGAGAAGCUUAUGCCUUCAAAUCAAAGAAAACUCAGAUGGUUCUCCAAGACCAGAUCCGUAAAGUGGUUGUCAACCUUGAGGAAGUUCUCUGUGGCUUAAAGGAAGUGCAUUUGGAAAUGAAGGAGGUGGUCCAGCAGAUUGACCAGCUGACCUCCAUCAUUGACCUGAGAGAGGAUGUCAGCGGAGAGGCUUCUGGGCAUUGCAGCCCAAUUGAGAGAGUUUCUACAUCAGAGGAAGCAAAGCAUGUAGACACCAGCAUCCACAAUUCUGGGUACUCAAAAAACCCAGGUCUUGUGUCAACACUACCAGGGGGCACGGGAAGACUUGAAGCAUGUAAUAAAGACCAGACACCAGGUGAAUGCCCCCCUAGUGUUGUGCCACCAGCAUACACAGCUGCACUUUUAUCUAUAAACAAUUCAGGACAGAAAUUUAAUCACGGAACAACAGUGUCCCAAAUUAAGGGGCCUAAAACAGAGGCCAGUGCGCUGUCUAGAAGCCAGAAGCCUCCUCCUUACCCCCUUAACAACAGAACCUUGAGGGCAAAUAAAGGGAAAACGCCCCCAUAUGCAGGCAGACGAAGACUGCUGUCCACUACUGUGUAAUGGGGCAGUUGCUUGAGGGCAGCUAGGGGAAGAUUACAGUUUGACGAAGCCAGUAUCCAAGGAGACCGGCGGCAUUAACUGUGCUCUUUUAGACCAACUUGUGAGACAAUUUCACAAGGCACCUGUGGAUUUACAGAAACUGUGGUCUACAGAAACAUUUGGAGAAGAAUUUAUUUACAUAUUCAGGUUUGUUUUUUUUUUAUUUAGUAACAAUCUGUUAUUUGUAAAGAAUUUGUAUUUCCAUACAUUUUGACAGCAGAACUAGUAUCAUCUGCAUUGUUGUAAAGAUCAGAUUAGAUGUGAAUUGAUUUAAUUUUUUUAUAUGACUGAAUCGUUAAAGGGGUGUUUGUAGUGGGAAAAUCUACCCCAUCACUUUUGUAUUACUGUUGUACUCAUGCAUCUUUGGAAACCUUUUGAUCUUGGUCAGAAUCAAAGAGGAUCAAGAGCUUAUGUGUAUAUGAGAUUACUGCAAAAAUCCCAUGGUGCCAGACACACACACAUUUUACUGCUAUGCGUUUCGAUAUGCAGGCGUAAAAAAAUAUACCCGGAAGAAAUUUUAUGAUUUCAGUUCACAACUCUCUGAAUUAUAUAAUAGCUUCAUUACAAAUCACUCAGUCAUCUGAAAGCAGGCCUCUUUCAGUCAAGCAUUUGGAGCCCAGCUGGAUAUUUCAGGCUGAAGCUCUGCUUCUUAAGAUUAAUUGAUUAAUGUGAACACCUGGAGGAACACCAAGAUGGCAGAGCUUUGGCUCAAAACCACAAGGGGAGAGGAAUAAUGGAUGUACUAUUGUAGAGAACACAGUUACUUGCACAAACUUUUUGCUGACUUGAGUAGAAAAACCUCAUAAUUGAAACCACAAAUAAAAUAACAGAGCUGUGUGUGAGCACCACUUGCAUUAAGAAAGAGCUUCGAUUAUCAGGAAGUUUGAGGGUAUUUUAAAGGUACAGUUGAACUUAAACCUCUACCAUGGUUUAGAAUGAAAGUAUUAUAACAUGAUGGAAAAUUUAUUUCGAUCAUUUCUAAUAACAGCAAAUUCACGAGACAAGUUACAUCAAGGCAACCAUUUCCUCUACAGUCUCUAAAGUUACCAAGAACCUGCAAAGUACUAACUUCUUAAGAUGUUUCUAUAGUAGAAAACUUAUCCGUACUACCUCGGGUCACGGGGAGCCUGUGCCUAUCUCAGGCGUCAUCGGGCAUCAAGGCAGGAUACACCCUGGUGAGAGUGCCAACCCAUCGCAGGGCACACACACUCAUUCACUCAUGCAAUCACGCACUAGGGACAAUUUUUCCAGAGAUGCCAAUCAACCUACCAUGCAUGUCUUUGGACCGGGGGAGGAAACCGGAGUACCCGGAGGAAACCCCCGAGGCACUGGGAGAACAUGCAAACUCCACACACACAAGGUAGAGGCGGGAAUCGAACCCCGACCCUGUAGGUGUGAGGCGAACGUGCUAACCACUAAGCCACCGUGCCUCCCAAGACUCCUUCAUAUAUUUUUCCAGAGAUGCCAAUCAACCUACCAUGCAUGUCUUUGGACCGCGGGAGGAAACCCCCGGGAGUACCCGGAGGAAACCCCCAAGGCACCGGAGGAAACCCCCGAGGCACAGGGAGAACAUGCAAACUCCACACACACAAGGUGGAGGCGGGAAUCGAACCCCGACCCUGUAGGUGUGAGGCGAAAGUGCUAAGCACUAAGCCACCGUGCCUCCCAAGACUCCUUCAUAUCAUUUGAAUUAUCACUACUUUUGGAGUGUCUUCAGAAUCAAAACCUUCUGACCAAUCAGAUCCCAGAAUUCAAUAAUACUCAGGUAUUAUAAUUAUUGUUGCAGCAUAUUCUGCUUAGAUUAAAUUAUGUAGAGUUUAAUGCCA